rnacentral:rRNA from 1 species
CGGACGGGUGAGUAAUGCCUGGGAAAUUGCCCUGAUGUGGGGGAUAACCAUUGGAAACGAUGGCUAAUACCGCAUAACGUCUACGGACCAAAGAGGGGGACCUUCGGGCCUCUCGCUUCAGGAUAUGCCCAGGUGGGAUUAGCUAGUUGGUGAGGUAAUGGCUCACCAAGGCGACGAUCCCUAGCUGGUCUGAGAGGAUGAUCAGCCACACUGGAACUGAGACACGGUCCAGACUCCUACGGGAGGCAGCAGUGGGGAAUAUUGCACAAUGGGCGCAAGCCUGAUGCAGCCAUGCCGCGUGUAUGAAGAAGGCCUUCGGGUUGUAAAGUACUUUCAGUCGUGAGGAAGGCGUUGAAGUUAAUAGCUUCAUCGUUUGACGUUAGCGACAGAAGAAGCACCGGCUAACUCCGUGCCAGCAGCCGCGGUAAUACGGAGGGUGCGAGCGUUAAUCGGAAUUACUGGGCGUAAAGCGCAUGCAGGUGGUUUGUUAAGUCAGAUGUGAAAGCCCGGGGCUCAACCUCGGAACCGCAUUUGAAACUGGCAGGCUAGAGUACUGUAGAGGGGGGUAGAAUUUCAGGUGUAGCGGUGAAAUGCGUAGAGAUCUGAAGGAAUACCAGUGGCGAAGGCGGCCCCCUGNACAGAUACUGACACUCAGAUGCGAAAGCGUGGGGAGCAAACAGGAUUAGAUACCCU